CUUUCAAUCAUGCUUACAAACUCUCUUUACAUAAUUAUGUUAUAAGUUCUUGAUUAAGAUCUGGCGCUGCAUUUUGAUUGUGUUUAGUUAUAUUGAUAAAAAUAUCAAGAAAUCUUUGAACGCAAAAUAAAAAAUUCAAGUACAAAUUUGCUUGUGAAUGACUGCAAACAAGUUUGAAUGCGAUACAAACUUACCAUAUUGAAGACAAACACAGGGUCCUACCUGCUUUUAUCAUUUAAAUGUCCAUAGAUCAAUAAAACGGGAACAAAAUUCAACAAAUCUAUUUACAAAUAGGCAAGUCAGGGUUUUUUAUUGCAGAAGUCUGUGUUUGUCAACUAUUUAAAUCAAACAGAUUUUUGUUGAAACUUUUGUCACAUGUACAGAAAGUGUUUUGACUGUGAAUUGAAAUGAGGAUAAGCAUAUUUUAAAGGAAGUAGGUUUCAGCUAGCUCAUCAGCAUAGAUUCAAAUCAUACAGUGAAAACAAUGUGAAAUGUGGGGACAAAACAGAACAGAACAGAAUUGUUCCACCAGAUUUGUACAAUGUGAAAGAAAGACAAAACUUGUUUGUUUUGUGAUAGAAAGCCCUGUAAUUGUCACAGUAUGUUGAUGUAACUUGUCACUUACAGCAGGAAAGAAGAAUAAAAAGUUGCUAGGACUACACUGGUCUGACUGUCAAUCGAAGAGAAAAACCACUGGCAGUGAGUGAGUCUUAUUGGAAGCUCUUGCGACUGUGGAGGAAAAAACUGUCAAUACUGUUUCUCGGUGGUGAAAAACCACCGUUACUGCUGCAGGAAUACUGUGACAGUUACUCUUUCUAUAAAUCGGGACUUAAUAACACCAUUCAACAUUCCUGUGGAGUAGUGUUGGAUAGAAAUUUUAGAUUGGAUAUUACACUAUAACGGGUUACAUUUGGGGUAAGUAGGCGUUAUUUAUCAUAUUUAAUUCCUGUUUAUUUUACACUGAAGCUGAAUUUUAUAUCCCAACUGUACCGGUACAUCAGGUUAUAAAUGAAUUAUUGAUAUUUGCGUUGGCGGAUGAAGAUGU